GCGGGUAUGGCGGAAUUGGUAGACGCACUAGACUUAGGAUCUAGCGGAGAGAUCCAUGGGGGUUCAAGUCCCUUUACCCGCACCA
rnacentral:tRNA from 1 species